UACGGAGGGAGCUAGCGUUGUUCGGAAUUACUGGGCGUAAAGCGCACGUAGGCGGCUUGGCAAGUCGGAUGUGAAAUCCCUCGGCUCAACCAAGGAAGUGCAUCCGAAACUGCCGAGCUUGAGUACUUAAGAGGAUCGCGGAAUUCCCGGUGUAGAGGUGAAAUUCGUAGAUAUCGGAAGGAACACCAGUGGCGAAAGCGGCUUCCUGGUCCAGCACCGACGUUCAGGCACGAAAGCGUGGGGAGCAAACAGG
rnacentral:rRNA from 1 species